GGGUAACCUGCCCAAGAGAUCGGGAUAACACCUGGAAACAGAUGCUAAUACCGGAUAACAACAGAUGAUGCCUAUCAACUGUUUAAAAGAUGGUUCUGCUAUCACUCUUGGAUGGACCUGCGGUGCAUUAGCUAGUUGGUAGGGUAACGGCCUACCAAGGCGAUGAUGCAUAGCCGAGUUGAGAGACUGAUCGGCCACAUUGGGACUGAGACACGGCCCAAACUCCUACGGGAGGCAGCAGUC
rnacentral:rRNA from 1 species